ACCCAGUUAUUAAACAUUACCAGCAUAACAUUGGCUUCUUAUUCCUCAGUUUACCAGGCUGUUACUCAAAAUUCACUCUCCAGCCCUGCUUUGGAGCAGUUGGGAACUUCAGCAUUUUGAUCCACCUUUUUGGAGCCGCCUCAUGUGAAAGAUGGGUGAGACCUUCGUCAGCAAACCUUAUAUGUAGGAGCUGGUAUGAGGAUCACACAAUGCAAGCAAAUAAAAUGAGAAAAGAUGAUUCAACAAGAGGCUUCACUGAUUUACUGUUUAUUUAACUGCUUUGACCAAAGUGCUUGGUUCUUAUAUGAAUAAGAAAGGGGAUAAGUUAUCCACCAGAAUGAAAGUUAUAUUCAGGUUUGAAGCUUCUGCUGUCAGAUAAUAUAGUUUUCUGUAGUGUGGAAGAACAGCAUCAUUUUCAAGCAAGGUGGAAUUAAGCAUGGACAGAACUGUGUUUCUCACCCCGGAGGAGGUAUGAAAGUUUUCAAGACGCCUACAAGUGGAAAAUGCACUCCUCCCAGCCAAAUCAAGCUUCGCCAGAUUCCUUACAGCUGUGUGCAGUGAAAUGACUAAUGAAAGAGCCCUCUGCUGCUGGUGGAACUUUCACAUAUGGCACUGUUAUGCCACUCAGCAGGACCCGACCCUGGUAUUUACAUAUUGGAUGUCACCCCAAAAGCCCCUGACCAGGGGGUUUCCGGGAUGUAAUAAGAAUGCCACUCUGGGCUUUGGAAGGUGCACCGUAUGCACACCCAUACUAUAGGGCAGGGGUUAGCAUUUCAGACCCCUGUUCCUCCCUUGACAAGCAAGUGCUUUUCUCCAGGGAAGACGUUCGGGUUCAUUCAUAGAUCCAUUGUUGCCGUGGGCAGCUCAGUAACAAUAGCUCUGCUGCCUACCAGCUGCUGGUGGAGGUGUUGAGAAUACCUAGAUGAGGAAGUCAGGGCCCCUGCGUGCUUCAGCAGAGCUGGAUGCCUGGCAUGGCAAUCAAUGGACACAAACCUUUGGAUAAUUUCCAUCCUUGGCGGU
rnacentral:antisense_RNA from 1 species